AGUGAACGCUGGCGGUAGGCCUAACACAUGCAAGUCGAACGGCAGCACAGUAAGAGCUUGCUCUUACGGGUGGCGAGUGGCGGACGGGUGAGGAAUACAUCGGAAUCUACUUUUUCGUGGGGGAUAACGUAGGGAAACUUACGCUAAUACCGCAUACGACCUACGGGUGAAAGCAGGGGAUCUUCGGACCUUGCGCGAUUGAAUGAGCCGAUGUCGGAUUAGCUAGUUGGCGGGGUAAAGGCCCACCAAGGCGACGAUCCGUAGCUGGUCUGAGAGGAUGAUCAGCCACACUGGAACUGAGACACGGUCCAGACUCCUACGGGAGGCAGCAGUGGGGAAUAUUGGACAAUGGGCGAAAGCCUGAUCCAGCCAUACCGCGUGGGUGAAGAAGGACUUCGGGUGGUAAAGCCCUUUUGUUGGGAAAGAAAAGCAGCAGGUUAAUACCCCGCUGUUAUGACGGUACCCAAAGAAUAAGCACCGGCUAACUUCGUG
rnacentral:rRNA from 1 species